AUGGAUGCAAGUUUCAGAAAAGAAUCCAAACCCUUUCCAAGUCCCAACUCUUUCUCUCGUGGACGCCCCUCGCUCUUCUCUGUUUUCCCGUGGUUGCAGUGCAGAGGGACUGGAGAGCAAAAUCAGCCUGAAGUCACGGGUCAUGAAAUAGGAUGCUUGGCCUGAAAAAGGCAUGUGAAGCCAGUCCAAAUUCCGAGUAGAAAAAAGGUCUCCAGUGAGGGCGGGGACAUGGAGGCUGGAAAUUGUAAUAAUCCCAAGAGUAUGUUGGAAUUUUUAUGUGUGGACUUACAUAAUUAAUUUGAUAAUGUCAUAAAUCAGUGUUAUUUAUUUUUGCAUUGUGGUCCAUAAUGGGACUGGACACAUAUUGUUGCUUGAUUUUUAUGGGCUCACCCUAAUUCACUUGACUGGCCCAUUAAGUCAAGUGGUGGUCCAAAUAAUGUGUGUGAUAUAUAUAUAUGAAUAUAUUUAUAUAUAUAUAUAUAAAAGAAAAGGAUGGGCUCACUGUGUGGCUGGCUCCCUGCUCUUCCUCCUUUGGCUGAAAGAGAGCACGCACUCUCGUCAUGGACUGAAUCUGGGUGUAGAAGGGAAGAGCUCAUUAACCCGUAAUUCUCGCACUAUCAAGCACUAUAGAAGCUUCCUGAAUACUAGAAAAGAGCAAGAAAUGGCCUUUCACGGAAUUAACCAAGGUGAACGUUUCCGUUUUUGCCGUUCAAUGCAUGCUUAAAUGUCAACAUGUGAUCCUAUAUUGUUUAAAUUUUCUUUAAUUGGUAUCAGAGCAAGCAUGAUUGACAUUUGAGCUGCAAUUUUGGGUUAAUUUUUGGGUUUCCCGUUUCCUGUGGUGGAAGCCAUUUUUUUGGAUUUUUAUUUCUCGUCUGAUGUUGAUUCUCUGUUUUCAAGCCCGAUUGUUGUUGGAAACUUGUAGAGAAUAUUGUUUGGAGCAAAACCCAUCAUUUUAUUUGAUUUUUGGAGCUUGUUUGGUGGGAUUUCGAAAAUUAGGGCUUGUUUGGUUCUUGCUAUUAUGCGUUUUUUGUGCAAUUUUUGGGUUUGGAUUGAAGAAUUGAUGUUUGAGGAUGGAAAUCUAUGUAUUUUUGACGAAAAAUGCGUGAAAUUUUGGGUGGAAAUUUUUUUUUUCUUCUCCAGAACCAGGCCGUGCUCAGCUAGAGGAGAAGAUGAAUAGUGAUGUGAUGAAUCAUGACGUCAUAAAAAAAAAAAAAAAACCAUUUUUUUUUUUUUUGUUGCCUUGGUAUUCUUGGAUUGAUUGUGCAUAUGCUAGAAUUAUUAUGCAUUUGUUAAAUUUGACUUUAUUGGGACAAUUAUUAUUAUUAUUGUUCUUUAUGGUAUAAUUUUUCCUUAUAUCAAUAAUGUUGUCCUAUGUCAAUUUUGUUAAAUAUUUCAAUUUAUUGAGGCAAUGAAGCACACUUGUGUGAUUGCCUAUCGCAAUUCCAAGUGUGUGAUUGAUUGUGCAUAUGCUAGAAUUAUUAUGCAUUUGUUAAAUUUGGCUUUAUUGGGACAAUUAUUAUUAUUAUUGUUCUUUAUGGUAUAAUUUUUCCUUAUAUCAAUAAUGUUGUCCUAUGUCAAUUUUGUUAAAUAUUUCAAUUUAUUGAGGCAAUGAAGCACACUUGUGUGAUUGCCUAUCGCAAUUCCAAGUGUGUCAAAUUGUGAAAAUUAAGAUAUUUUGAAUUUUAUUCAUGACAAUAGUGAACAUAUGUGUGGUUGCCUAUCGUGAUCCUAUAUGUGUCAAAUUGUCUUUGUUGAGAUAUUUUAUCUCCCUCUUUUGAUUGUUUUAUUAUUGUGAUAACUAAGGUCCAUACGGGUAUUGUGAUUGUCCUAUCGAUGAUUAUAAUAUUUGGUAGGAUGCUUGGAUUGGUGAAGGAAAUUAAUUUUAUAUUAUGACUCGUACUAAUUUUCUUUGCCCUUUCGGUAAUAAAAUUAGUGCAUCUUAGUUGUGAUAUUUAAUUGAUUGUCCUUAUUAAUUGCAUAGAAUCACAUGUUGACAAAUUAAGCAUGCAUUUAACAGCAAAAUUCAAUCCGUUACCUUGGUUCGUGCUUUGGGAAGCCAUUUCUUCUCUCCUUUGAUAUCCAAUAAUCUGUUUUCCGGGUGCGUGAUGGUCCGAGAAUGAGCGAUCAUAUUUGGUAGGAUGCUUGGAUUGGUAAAAGAAAUAAUUUUAUAUUAUGACUCGUACUAAUUUUCUUUGCCCUUUCGGUAAUAAAAUUAGUGCAUCUUAGUUGUGAUAUUUAAUUGAUUGUCCUUACCGCCGUGGAAUUUUCAAAAUUCCAAGCUGUUGCUAAAUUGAGAAAUUCUGGAAACUAGCAAAUGCAUGAUUUUGUAGUAACAUGCAUAUUGCUUAAUUUUGCUAUUUUCCAGCUACUAGCAAUCCUGGUAUUACUCUGCAAUUGUUUGCCAUCAAACCCUCUUACUGGAAUAAUUUUGAGGAAUGUUUUGAGUCUUUCAAUGUGCAUAUGACUAUGCACAUUUUGGACUGGGCUUUGAGAGUUGAUAAGCCAAGUAAAUUUGAGUUCUUCCAUAUUGUGGCACAAACGCCUAGGUCAUAUUUCUAGGCAAAGAUUAGAGAGAUUGGUUAGAGAUGGUGAGUAUUAUGGGAGAUAUGAUGAGACUGGACGGAAUUCUGGACCAUUCACUAAGUUUAUGUUGGAAUGCGGCAUUGAUGCUAGAUAUACAAUGUCAGGCACUCCUCAACAGAAUGGGGUUGCAGAAAGGAGGAAUCGCACAUUGUUGGAUAUGGUGAGGUGCAUGUUGUCUAAUUCCUCCUUACCAGAAUUUCUAUGGGGUGAAGCCUUAAGGAAUGCGGCAUAUAUUUUGAAUCAAGUGCCCAGUAAGUCUGUGCUUAAGACACCUUAUGAGCUAUGCGCAGCGGAAGUGUGGUUAGGCCCUAUAAUCCACAGUCAAAGAAACUUGAUCCUAAAACCAUUAUUGGUUUCUUUGUUGGCUAUUGCAUUGGAUUAAGGGGUUCCAGAUUUUAUUGUCCAUCUCAUACCACCAGGAUCAUUGAGUUAGACAGGGUUGUAUAUUUUGAAGAUGUGAGCUCUGUUGAUGAAAGAUCUAGUGGUAUCUGAAGUUUGAUAGUAUUAUCACCCAAAAUGACUUUAAAGAAAAUACAGUUGACAGAUGCAUAUAUUUGAGGGUUAGUGGGAGUAGUUACAUAUUUCUUGUUUUAUAUGUUGAUGAUAUACUACUCGCAUUAAAUGAUCCUAACUUGUUGAUUGAGACAAAGCACAUGUUGUCAACCCAUUUUGACAUGAAGGAUCUUGGUGAGGCUUCUUAUGUCUUGGGCAUAAAGAUUCUUCGUGAUAGGGCUAAUGGAGUGCUUAAAUUGUCUCAAAGAGCCUAUAUUGAAAAGAUAUGAAGAGGUUCAAUAUGCACAACUGUAGUUUGAUAUUGCUUUUAUUGUGGGCAUGUUGGGAAGGUACUUGAGCAAUCCUGGGAGUCAACAUUGGAAUGCAGCUAAGAAGGUCCUUAGGUAUUUGCAAGGAACUAAGGACUUAAUGUUGACAUAUCAGCGCACCAGCUUACUUGAUGUAGUUGGGUUUUGUGAUGCUGAUUUUGCUGGCUGCAUAGAUGAUAAGAAAUCCACUACGGGCUAUAUUUUUAUGAUGGCAGGAGGAGCUGUAUCUUGGAAAAGUGUCAAGCAGACACUUACAACAUCCUCAACUAUGGAGGCAGAGUAUGUGGCAUGUUAUGAGGCUUGUUGUCAUGCUAUGUGGAUGCGGAAUUUUGUUUCAGCUUUAGGAGUUGUUGACUCCAUUUUUAGACCGCUGAAAUUAUUUUGUGAUAAUUCCGCAGCUGUUGCUUUCUCCAAGAACACUAGGAGUAUUUCUCGCUCCAAACAUAUUGAUGUAAAGUUCUAUUUUGUUAAGGAGAAAGUGGCAGGGUCUCUUAUUGAUAUUGAACACAUGUCCACAAAAAGUAUGUUGGCGGAUCCAUUAACAAAAGGCUUACCCAUAAUUGCGUUUCAGGAACAUGUAUCUCAAAUGGGGUUGUUGGAAGCCUAGGUUGUAUUAAGUUAGUGGGAGCCAUUUUUUUUUUGUAUUGUAAUACUAUGUUAUUGUUGAAAGGAUUGCUAUUAUUGUACAUUUCCCUAUGAAUCAAGCAAUGAA